AUAUCAAUAAGCGGAGGAAAAGAAACCAACAGGGAUUGCCUCAGUAACGGCGAGUGAAGCGGCAAGAGCUCAAAUUUUAAAUCUGCCUUUUAGGCCGAGUUGUAAUUUGUAGAGGAACGUUCGGUGACGUCUAGGUCCGAGUCUUCUGGAAGGAAGCGCCGAUGAGGGUGAGAGCCCCGUACGACCAACGACUUAGCCAUGUGAACGUCCUUCGAAGAGUCGAGUUGUUUGGGAAUGCAGCUCAAAGCGGGUGGUAAAUUCCAUCUAAAGCUAAAUAUUGGCCAGAGACCGAUAGCGCACAAGUAGAGUGAUCGAAAGAUGAAAAGCACUUUGGAAAGAGAGUGAAAAAGUACGUGAAAUUGUUGAAAGGGAAGCGCUCGCGACCAGACUUGAUCGUUCAGUUCAAGGGUUCUUCUGGACCCGGUACUUCUGUCUGAUCAGGCCAGCAUCAGUUCGGACGGUUGGAUAAAAGCUUUGGGAGCGUGGCUCCUCGGAGUGUUUAUAGCCCUCUGCACAAUACAGCCAGACCGGACUGAGGAAUGCCUUUUGUAGGAUGUUGGCGUAAUGGUUGCCAGCGG
rnacentral:rRNA from 1 species